rnacentral:rRNA from 1 species
UGGGGAAUAUUGGACAAUGGGCGCAAGCCUGAUCCAGCCAUGCCGCGUGAGUGAUGACGGCCUUAGGGUUGUAAAGCUCUUUUCUCCGGGACGAUAAUGACGGUACCGGAGGAAUAAGCCCCGGCUAACUUCGUGCCAGCAGCCGCGGUAAUACGAAGGGGGCUAGCGUUGCUCGGAAUCACUGGGAGUAAAGGGCGCGUAGGCGGCGUUUUAAGUCGGGGGUGAAAGACUGUGGCUCAACCACAGAAUGGCCUUCGAUCCUGGGACGCUUGAGUCUGGUAGAGGUUGGUGGAACUGCGAGUGUAGAGGUGAAAUUCGUAGAUAUUCGCAAGAACACCGGUGGCGAAGGCGGCCAACUGGACCAGUACUGACGCUGAGGCGCGAAAGCGUGGGGAGCAAACAGG